rnacentral:misc_RNA from 1 species
AACCCUCUCAACCCCGUUUUCUAGGCAACUGGAAAAUAGCUUGGGUUUGGAUCAUGACAGCUGUUGGUUUUUACAACCAACUCUGUUGAAAGAUAGCAGGCUGAAUCAACUUAUUUGCGGCUUGACCUGUUGUUGUACCUUUAAACUCAAUGGGAACGCAUCAAUGUUGAACGAGUCUUUAACAAAGCUUUUUUCUU